UACGAACCGUACGAACGUUAUUCGGAAUCACUGGGCUUAAAGGGUGCGUAGGCGGUCCGGUAAGUUGGGUGUGAAAGCCCUCGGCUCAACCGAGGAAUUGCGCCCAAAACUGUCGGACUUGAGGGAGAUAGAGGUGAGCGGAACUUAGGGUGGAGCGGUGAAAUGCGUUGAUAUCCUAAGGAACACCAGAGGCGAAAGCGGCUCACUGGGUCUUUUCUGACGCUGAGGCACGAAAGCUAGGGUAGCGAAC
rnacentral:rRNA from 1 species